rnacentral:lncRNA from 1 species
GUUGUGGGCAUUCGGACUUGAAGUGUCCCAGUUUCUUGCAUUCAUAGCAGAUAAGGGAUUGGUCUUUAUCCUUUUCUUUGCUCUGUUCCCCUUUUGUGAAGGGCCUCUUCCUCAUCCCUUGUUUCCUUUUUCUCAAAAAUUUCUUGAAUCUUCGGGUAAUGAGUGCCAUCUCUUCAUCCUGCUCUUCAUUUUCGGUGUCAUCAGUUUUUUCAUCUGGUGGAGCUGUGGAUUUGAGGGCGAUUGUUCUCUUCUUUUUGACUUCUUCCUCUUGAUGUUGCUUCAUGCUCAGCUCAUGAGUCAUCAAUAAUCCAAGAAGCUCUUCCAAGGGUAGAAUGUUCAAGUCCUUGGCUUCUUGGAUGGCGGUCACUUUGGCUUUUCAAGUUCUCGGUAAGGAUCUGAGAAUCUUUCUUACAAGCUCACUGUUAGUAUAGGACAUACCAAGACUCUUUAAACCAUUUAUAAUAUCAGUAAAGCGAGUAAACAUUUCAGUUAUGGACUCAUCAUGCUCCAUUUUAAACAAU